UACGGGGGGGGCAAGCGUUGUUCGGAAUUACUGGGCGUAAAGGGCUUGUAGGUGGCCAACUAAGUCAGACGUGAAAUCCCUCAGCUUAACUGGGGAACUGCGUCUGAUACUGGAUGGCUUGAGUUUGGGAGAGGGACGCGGAAUUCCAGGUGUAGCGGUGAAAUGCGUAGAUAUCUGGAGGAACACCGGUGGCGAAGGCGGCGUCCUGGACCAACACUGACACUGAAAAGCGAAAGCCAGGGGAGCAAACGGG
rnacentral:rRNA from 1 species